AUUGAACGCUGGCGGCAGGCUUAACACAUGCAAGUCGAGCGGGGGAGGUUGCUUCGGUAACUGACCUAGCGGCGGCCGGGUGAGUAAUACUUAGGAAACUGCCUAUCAAUGGGGGACAAUACCUCGAAAGGGAUGCAAAUACGGCAUACGACGUACGGGGGAAAGCAGGGGAUCACUUGUGACCCUGCGUUAAUAGAUGAGACGAAGUAGCAUCAGCUAGUUGGUGGGGUAAAGGCCUACCAAGGCGACGAUCUGUAGCGGGUCUGUGAGGAUGAUCCGCCACACUGGGACUGUGACACGGCCCAGACUCCUACGGGAGGCAGCAGUGGGGAAUAUUUGACAAUGGGGGGAACCCUGAUCCAGCCAUGCCGGGUGUGUGAACAAGGCCUUAUGGUUGUAAAGCACUUUAAGCGAGGAAGAGGCUCUUUUGGUUAAUACCCAAGAUGAUUGGACGUUACUCUCAAAAUAAGCACCGGCUAACCCUGUGCCAGCCGCCGCAGUAA
rnacentral:rRNA from 1 species